rnacentral:lncRNA from 1 species
GGAUAGGAGGGUAAGUUGAAAAAGCUAAAAAGAUUGUACCUUUGAGCAGCUUGAAGGGAGUGGCGGAAAGGGUAGGGCGUUGGGGCAAGGGGCAGAAGACGGCGGCGGGUCUGGCGGCGGGGAGGCGGUGGAGCAAGACGGCGGUGGCCGCCAUGGAAGUGGAAGCUGCCGCUGCCAUUUUUGGCUGAAGCCCAAGGAAAUGUGAUUUCUGCAAAUCGAAGAAACAAAAAAUGUGGCUUUUGCUGCUAAGCCUCUCUUUCUUUAUCUCCAAAGAUUAUAAAUUUUUUUAGUACAAUUUUUUGAUAUCCACAACAAUUUUCAGGGUCAAUGUUGAGAUGAUUCUACCGGCUGACACGUGGAUAAUCGAUGCUUUGUGAUUGGUUGGUUUCCUAUCUUGAUAAUCUAGUAUUUUUUGUUUCAAAAUCAUGUUUCGAUUGAACCUGCAAGAACAAAAUGUCUUGUUAUUUAGGAUCUUACUAAUUUCGAUAACAAAGGUGUCAUUCCUUUUACUAAAUUAGUGGCAUGCGUGUGUGUAUAUAUAUAUUUUAUAGUGUUAAUAUAUAUUACACAUUUGUAUAAAAUAUACUCCUUCCCUCCACCAAAAGUAUUAUAUAUUUGAUGGCCACAUGUUUUAAUAAAAUUUAUGGUAAUUUUUAUGUAUUGGAGAAAGGAUUCACCAAAAUUUGAAAUGAGUGGUUAAGAUUGAAUUGUUUUUUUUUUUUUGUAAAUAAGAAAAAGUGGUGGGGUCAUGUGUUAAAAAGAAAAGUGAUAAUAUUAUUUUAUUAAACACCCAAAAUAACAGAAAGUCAUACUUUUCAUGGACGAAGAGAGUAUCUUUUUAAAAUACUGAUAGUUGUUUCAUACGAGAAGUAUACAAUGUAUUUUUGACAUAAAUAGAUGCUUGUAUAAUUGAAACGUAUAUACUCCCUCCGUUCCAUUACAAAUAUUUCAUUGCUUUUGGGCACAAAGAUUAAAAAAAUGUGUAAAAAAUAGAUAAAGUGAAUUGGUGGAAAUUAUUUAAAUAUUAGGUAUAAAUAUAAUAUAUUAUCAAAAAAGAAAUGAGACAUUUGUAAUGGGACAUCUCAUUAUAAAAAGUGGGAUAUUUCUAAUGAGACGGGGGAGUAUAAAUUUAGAAAAAUCAUAGUCAUAAAAGAGAAGCUAAGUUCAUGAAUGAUUGAUUCUUUCUUUUUUGUUUUUUGUAGAAAAUAAAAUGUCAUAUAUAUUUUUCAAUUGUGUUUCACUAUAAGAAGCUCAACUUGAUAGAUAUUAACAAUCUAGCUCUCUUCUUUUAAAAUAUAAGAUAUACAUAAUAUCGCAAACUUAAAUAUAUAUUACCCGCUAUGUCCCAUGAGAGUGUGCAUGAUUAUUGAUAAUAUGAGUUUUAAUAAAUAUUAGAUUAGUAGCAGAAAUGAUCCACCUUUAUUAAGUAGAAGAAAGUAUCAAAAAAAGAAAAUGCACAUUUUUGUGAGGCGUACCAAAAAUGACAAAAAGUGCACACUCUUAUGGGACGGUAGGAAUAUAAAAAAUUAAUCAAAUUAUUAUAAACUAAAAUAUUGAGAAUUACAAGAGGCAUAUCUCAUAUAUAACCAAAUAAGCAACUUGCAUGCAGACGGAACCUCUAUACCACACAAAGGUGGAAAAACAAUCGCACGCAGGCGGAAUACUAUCCACACAAAAAUGGGAAAACUACCCACACACAAGCGUGAUUUGAACUCAAGACCUCUCACAAAAUAGAGUCUCUGAGUACCUCAACUUUGUCACUUGUACUAGGCGUCAUCGGCAUUACAAACUAGACUAUAUCCAAAUUAAUAAUUAAAUAGUAUAGAUUAAAUCAAAUAUCCAAAUAAAAUGAAAAUACAAUUCAAUAACUCAUAUGUUGGUAGAAUUUAAAUUAAUAACUUUUUGCUAGUGAGAGACUUUUGUAUCUUAUUUUUGCCACUUGAAUUACACGUCGUCGGCAUUUAGCUAGCCCUUACUGACUGAAUUUAACAUAAUAGAUUUUUUGUUUUAGGGAAAUAGAUUUUUUCUUUAAAUUGCAUAGUAACUAGUAAGUAAUUAACCCCAAUGCCGAUGUUACAAUGGGCCUGAUUUUAAUUUAUAUUUUAAUGUAAGCCCAAUAGUGCGUUCACUGGAUAAUCAGGCCCAUCAAUAUAUAUUUCUGGGUUUCUAUGAAAUUGACUAACGACCCAACACAAAAUUUAUGUGGUACAGAAUAUUUUGCGGCCCGACUAAGACCACUACCUAAAUUAAUUAAUCAAAUUUUUAAUGCCUACCUAAAUUUAUUAAAUAAUCCAUAAACGACAUACACACAGUUUAAAUAGUUCAUUUGAUGACAUACUAAAUGGCAAGAACACCCCUCAAUGCAAUGCAUUUUGCGCAUAUAUAUAGGUGUUAGGUGCUUCAUCUCUAUUUCUUUAUCACAUUUCAAUAUCGUGAUAAAUUUUAUUUUAAUUCCUUAAUUAAUAUGCUAGCAUAACAGUCCAUCCGUCUCUGAAACAUCUUCUUAAAGGGAGGCGACAUGAAUUUUAAUAAAAUUUAAUUAUGUAUUUAAUGAGUGAAGAAGGAAUUACACAAAUUAGCGACAUUAUAAAAAUAAUAAUUAGUGACAUUAUUUUUAAAAAUAGAUUAGAAAGAUAUUUUUAAAAUUAACGGAAAAAAUAAAAUAACAGGGAAUUGUAUAUCAAAACGAACAUAUGCAAUUUGCCGGAAUGAGAUCCAGUGUCCCACAAUCUUAUGUGUGUCACUGUGUCGCAUGCUUAUAUCUAUUAUUUUAAAAAUAUUUUUUUAUAAAAAUAAAAUUUCUUAUAAUACUAUGAAUUAUAUUUAAUUUUUAUUUCAAAAAUUAAUUUUUUUAAAAAGUAUAUACCAUGACUUUGAAUUUAUCAACCUAUUAUUAGCUAAUAAAAGUAAAUUAAAUUAUAAAAAUAUUAUAUACCCUAGAUUGAUGGAAUAAACCCUAGUUAAUAAUCACAAAAUUAAACUAAAGUAUAUAAAGUUGAAAUUGAAGAAAAUACAUAUAAGAAAUUAAAUAAAAUUGAAAAUGGGACAUAAAGUGUGGUACACUGAAUCUCAUUUCGAAUUUGCCACAAUUUGAAUGAUUAACUGGAAGACACUUUGCUUAUCUAUUACAACUUCAUAAAAAUAUAUAGAUAUACACAAGCAAAAAUAUAGAGAUAAGUAGUGGUGAAAUAUNAAGCUAUUGGAUUCCCCUUAGUGUCAACGAGACCACCGUGCUUCUGAUGCAUCACGGCCUGCAAACUACUCGAUUUCACCCUAGAAUUGAUGGUACCGCCACCCGUCUUGUUGGAUUGGGACACACACACAACACAAUUGAAUGAUUCAAGAGGUUUAUUUGAUGACAGAGGCAAAAAUCAAGACUGAGACCAAAGACUUCCAUUAGAACGACAGAGGGAAAAAGAAACUGAUUUGAUUAGUGAUUUCCAUGACUACAUUUUUAAGAUACUAUUAAAACACAUCAAUCAAGUACUACAUUAUACCAAAAAAUCCUAUAGACAGAAACAGACAAAGUUGAUUUUGAUUUUGAUUAGCUAUAGCCCUUUUCAAGAAACCAUUACAACAUACUAGUAACCAUGCUUAUUACACCAAAAACUUGACAGAGAAUAAAAAAGUGAAUAUACAUAUUCAAGAAACUAUAACAACACCUUAAUCAUGUACAUUAUACCAUAGCUAUACAUACAUAACAAUUAUAGUAUACAAAGAUAGUUAAGAACUAAAAAUUGAGUAAAAUCCCACAAAUUCUACAAGUGGUGAAAGAAGAUGGAUAGGAGGGUAAGUUGAAAAAAGCUAAAAAGAUUGUACCUUUGAGCAGCUUGAAGGGAGUGGCGGAAAGGGUAGGGCGUUGGGGCAAGGGGCAGAAGACGGCGGCGGGUCUGGCGGCGGGGAGGCGGUGGAGCAAGACGGCGGUGGCCGCCAUGGAAGUGGAAGCUGCCGCUGCCAUUUUUGGCUGAAGCCCAAGGAAAUGUGAUUUCUGCAAAUCGAAGAAACAAAAAAUGUGGCUUUUGCUGCUAAGCCUCUCUUUCUUUAUCUCCAAAGAUUAUAAAUUUUUUUAGUACAAU